CACGAUGACCAAAUCGACCAGAACGACCGAUGCGGUGCAAAUAAGUUUCGGCGUUCUUCGGAAAAUCAAAAUUGAUGACAACAUUUACAGCUUGGAUAUCAAUACCACGAGUCAACAGAUCAGAACAAACCAAAUUGCGGCAAACGCCAUUUCUAAAAUUAUGAAAAACACGGUUUCUAUGAGACUGUAACAUUUUAGCAUGAGAAUAAAAGCAUGAAUAUCCAAGUUCAGUAAUUUUUUUGGCAAGUAACUCGACACGGUUAGUGGAGUUACAGAAUAUGA